UCGUCGUUGCGAUAGUAAUACUGCUCAGUACGAGAGGAACCGCAGUUUCGGACAUUUGGUUCAUGCAUUCGGCCGAGCGGCCGGUGGCGCGAAGCUACCAUCUGCGGGGUUAUGCCUGAACGCCACUAAGGCCGAAGCCAGCUUAACCGAAUCCGGCAAGGAUAUGCUCACUGUGGAGCCCCGAGAGUCGGGAGGCUCUAAACAAUGUGACUUUACUAGUCGCGCUUUAUUCGUAAGGUGCGACGUCGAAGCCCAAUUGGAACGCGGGUGAUCGAUGCGAACGGUCUUAACACGUGCAUCAUGGUGCCGAAGUUUCGAAUAUACCUCAGUUCGAUGUUGGGCUUCAGAAUAGUCUGUAGACGACUUACGUUCCUGGCGGGGUGUUUUGCUCGGUAGAGCAGCGUCGUGCUGCGAUCUGUUGAGACUUAGCCCUACGCCAGGUGAUUC
rnacentral:rRNA from 1 species